GCGUCCGUGGUGCAAUGAUUAGCAUGCGCUCCCGCAAAGAGUGAGAUCUGGGUUCGAAUCCCGGUUGACGCA